rnacentral:piRNA from 1 species
AGGCGACUGCGGGCAGGUAAGAG